rnacentral:SRP_RNA from 1 species
GAACUCUUAAGAGGACUACUUGCUCUCCCAUUCCAAGUUGGGAGUUGGGCCUCGCAUUCUAGACGAAAGUCCAAAGUGCGAUGCCUUUAGAUUGGAGGAAACCGCGUGAGGUUGGCCUUACAGAGCAGUGUCACCUUUUGCUCUCGUCGGUGGACGGAUAACGUGCAAGUUCUUGAGAGCCCAAU